GAGCCCUGCUAGCUCAGUCGGUAGAGCGUUAGACUACUAAUCCAACGGUGAAGGGUUCGAGUCCCUUGUGGUUCG